GACGAACGCUGGCGGCGUGCUUAACACAUGCAAGUCGAACGGUAAGGCCCUUCGGGGUACACGAGUGGCGAACGGGUGAGUAACACGUGGGUGAUCUGCCCUGCACUUCGGGAUAAGCCUGGGAAACUGGGUCUAAUACCGGAUAGGACCACUGCCUGCAUGGGUGGUGGUGGAAAGCUUUUGCGGUGUGGGAUGGGCCCGCGGCCUAUCAGCUUGUUGGUGGGGUGAUGGCCUACCAAGGCGACGACGGGUAGCCGGCCGGAGAGGGUGACCGGCCACACUGGGAGUGAGAUACGGCGCAGACUCCUACGGGAGGCAGCGGUGGGGAAUAUUGCACAAUGGGCGCAAGCCUGAUGCAGCGACGCCGCGUGAGGGAUGACGGCCUUCGGGUUGUAAACCUCUUUCAGCACCGACGAAGCGCAAGUGACGGUAGGUGCAGAAGAAGGACCGGCCAACUACGUGCCAGCCGCCGCAGUAA
rnacentral:rRNA from 1 species